rnacentral:misc_RNA from 1 species
AAAUUUACCAACCAAAUAAAAGAAAUGGAACCUGCAUGGUUAACGGGGGGCUUUCUUCUUCCCUGCAACAGUGACUCUCUUACCCUUCAAGGUUCGGCAAUUGUUCUUAGUGCGCUGUCCCCUGCAUGGUAAACCCUGAAUAUGUCUUAUCCCUCUAUAGCACUGAAUCUCCUUCAACCUCCUUAUGUUGAGAGCAUUGAACCGUCUCAAAUCGCCUUCAAUCAUGUACUUGGACACUUCAUCACGAAGAGUAAUGAGCUCCUCCUCAGACAAGUCCUUGGUGAUUUUGUUCUGCAUGCUAAGAUCAGAGAGAAUUUUGCGAGCCCUUGAGCGGCCAACUCCAUGGAUGUAC